GAUGAACGCUGGCGGUCUGCUUAACACAUGCAAGUCGAACGAACUCUUCGGAGUGAGUGGCGGACGGGUGAGUAACGCGUGAGAAUCUGCCUGUGGGUCGGGGACAACCACUGGAAACGGUGGCUAAUACCGGAUGAGCCGAAAGGUAAAAGAUUUAUUGCCCACAGAUGAGCUCGCGUCUGAUUAGCUAGUUGGUAAGGUAAAAGCGUACCAAGGCGACGAUCAGUAGCUGGUCUGAGAGGAUGAGCAGCCACACUGGGACUGAGACACGGCCCAGACUCCUACGGGAGGCAGCAGUGGGAAUUUUCCGCAAUGGGCGAAAGCCUGACGGAGCAAGACCGCGUGAGCGAGGAAGGCCUUCGGGUCGUAAAGCUCUGUCCUAAAGGAAGAAUAAUGACGGUACCUUAGGAGGAAGCCCCCGGCUAACUACGUGCCAGCAGCCGC
rnacentral:rRNA from 1 species